GGAGCUCAAGCAUCCAUCCUGGACCAUGAGGUAAACCAAGAUCCUUGGACCCCAGUGUCUUCAUCAAGAUUGUGACACCCUAUGAAGACACUUCCCAAUUGGCCCCUGGCCUCCACAAUGACACCUAUCCUAAUCCUCAGGGCAGUGGACUGAGAACACGCUUGGCUCAGGCUGGACGUUUGUGUCUUAAAUGACCUUGGACACAAGUGGGCUGGAAUUAGGGCCUCUGAAUCUUUAGGUUUUCUGGAGAUUUCCAUUAUAAGUUAUGAUCCUGUCUUCAGAGUUUCUUUAUCUUAUUAGGAGUUUGACUGAGUACUACUCUGAGUUCGAAUUACCUCACCCAGGAACCCAACACCCAACCCAAACCUGAGAGCUUUGCUUAUAGAGAGAGGACUGGCUUUCAUGUCAGGGACCUGGAAUCUCCUCCUUGAUCUGCUUCUUGCUGGCUGAGUCACCUCUGGGGAGAACUUCACCUCCCCAUACUUCAGUACGUGCAUUACGAACAUGGACGUAGUCUGGCAACUGGGAGGAGCUGUGCCCACCGAAGGAAUCAUUGUGCCUUUAAGGGCAUAAACCUGGUUUGAGAUCAAAUCCGUCCACUGAAACAUUAAUUCAACAAUCCUCCCACCUCAGCCUCCUGAGGAGCUGGGACUACUGGUGUACAUCACCAUACCCAGCUAAUGUCUUAUUUUUUGUAAAGAUAGGGUCUCACAAUGUUGCUCAGGUUGGUCUUGAAUUCCCGGGCUCAAGGGAUCCUCCCACUUCAGCCUCCCAAAGUGCUGAGAUUACAGGCAUGAGCCACUGUGCCUGGCAGAUUUGUACACUUUAUUUAUUUAUUUAUAUAAUAAAUAGAGAUGAGGUCUCGCUAUGUUGCCCAGGCUGGAUUCAAACUCCUGUCCUCAAGCGAUCAGCCCACCUCGGCCUCCCAAAGUGCCAGGAUUACAGGCAUGAGCCACCUCACGCAGCAAAUUGUACACUUUUUUUUUCCCCGAGACGGAGUCUCGCUCUCUCACCCAGGCUGGAGUGCAGUGGCACGAUCUAGGCUCACUGCAACCUUCGCCUCCCAGGUUCAAGUGAUUCUCCUGCCUCAGCCUCCCGAGUAGCAGGGACUACACCACAUGUGCCACCACACCCAGUUAAUUUUUGUAUUUUUAAUAGAGAUAGGGUUUCACCAUGUUGGCCAGGCUGGUGGCGAACUCCUGACCUCUAGUGAUCCCUCCACCUCGGCCUCCCAAAGUGCUGGGAUUACAGGUGUGAGCCACCAUGCCUGGCCCCAGUUGUACACUUUAAAUGUGUGAAUUGCAUGGUAUAUAAAUUAUAACGCAAUAAAAAAAUUUUCUUCUUCUUUCUGAGACAAGGUCUCUCUCUGUUGCCUAGGCUGUAGUGCAGUGGCACAAUCAUGG
rnacentral:lncRNA from 10 species